CGCGUGUCCGGGUGGGGCCGAGGAAGCCUCUGGCUGCGGGCAGGUGCCCGGUGACCUGGCUCCACGGGACCUUGGCAGGUUAUCCCGCUGCCGCCGAGCUGGCUGUGUGCUCCACGCUGGGGUCGGGGUCUUGGGGCAGGUCACACUGGACACAAGGCUUGUGCGGUGGCAUUUUCACGCUGCUCCUGUAGUCAAUCGCCAGCUCUCAGCAGGGAACACCAGGGUCCUAUGGGCGCCGCUGUGCACACCGUCAUUCGUUCAGCGCAGGCUUCCGGAGCACCCUAAGGAGCAGUCCUCGGGGCUGGAUUCAGAGUGGGCUGCCAGUCAGCUCUAG
rnacentral:lncRNA from 1 species